UACGAAGGGGGCUAGCGUUGCUCGGAAUCACUGGGCGUAAAGGGUGCGUAGGCGGGUCUUUAAGUCAGGGGGGAAAUCCUGGAGCUCAACUCCAGAACUGCCUUUGAUACUGAAGAUCUUGAGUUCGGGAGAGGUGAGUGGAACUGCGAGUGUAGAGGUGAAAUUCGUAGAUAUUCGCAAGAACACCAGCGGCGAAGGCGGCUCACUGGCCCGAUACUGACGCUGAGGCACGAAAGCGUGGGGAGCAAACAGG
rnacentral:rRNA from 1 species